AUCGCUUCUCGGCCUUUUGGCUAAGAUCAAGUGUAGUAUUU
rnacentral:snRNA from 1 species